rnacentral:tRNA from 1 species
UUAGCUGAAACCAAAAUAGAGGUAAUUUAUUGUUAAUAAAUUUAUUGAAUAUAAGAUUCCUGCUAAC